UAAAUUUAUCUUUUGUAUUUCUAUUGUUUUUUUAAAAAUUUAAUUUUGGUUUGUAGCUUAAAUAUUAUACUUUUUUUAUAUGCAUUUAUUUUUUUUAUAUAGUUGUUGAUGUAGUAGAUAAAAUUAAAAAUUUAAUAGUUUAUAUUUUAGAUAUUUAAAUAUUUCUAAUAAAAUUUGUGCCAGCAAUUGCGGUUAAACAAUUAGAUUGAUUUAAGCAUCUUAGUUAUUAAUUAAUAGUUAAUUUUAUAAUUAAAUAAUAAUUUUAAUGGGUGAAAUCUUGAAAUUAUUUUAUUUAUAUAUUUUUAUAUGAUUUUAUUAGAUUUUGAAUUAAACUAGGAUUAGAUACCCUAUUAUUAAAAAGUAGUUUUUUUUAUCUUAUUAUUAUGUUUUAUUUAAUAAAAAGUAAAAAAAUGUGGCGGCAUUUUAGUCUAUUCAGAGGAACCUGUUCCGUAAUUGAUAGUUCACGAUUAUUUUUACUUUAUUUAUUACUUGUAUAUCGUCGUUUGCGAGUAUUUUAAUUGAAUUUUAAUAUUUAAUAAAUAUUUUUCUUAUUUAAUUUCAGAUCAAGAUGCAGUUUAUAAUAAAGAGAGAAAUGGGUUACGUUUUUAUUAAAAUUGGUUAUUAUAUUUUUUAAUAUGAUUUAAAUUGGAUUUGAAUGUAAAUUAUUUUAUUGUUUUAUUUUUGAAUAAGUUUUAGAAUGUGUACAUAUUGCCCGUCGCUUUCAAUUUUUGAAAUAAGUCGUAACAAAGUAGAUGUACUGGAAAGUGUAUCUAGAAA
rnacentral:ncRNA from 1 species